rnacentral:lncRNA from 1 species
CUACUACAAUUAACCAGCAGAAAGAAGCUUUCCACUGCACCCCAAGCACAGAGUUUGUUGUUGUUGUUGUUGUUUGUUGCUUUUCCAGUACUGGGAAUCAAACUCAGGACCUUGCACUUACAAGGCAGCUGGACGCCCACCUCGCCUAAUAUGCCACUGCAAGGCUGUGUCCUCUUCCUCUCUGCAAAACUGAGCUUCCCAUGCCUGAAGGUCCCACAGCACCAAGGCCAGGGCUGGCUGGGGACACCACUCCAUAGGAAAAGUACUGGAGAUCCACCUCCUGAUGGUCCACGAGGGGCCUGGCCUUGUCCUCCUGGUCACCACCAUACCCUAGCACAGCACACAGUCUACCCUGGGCCCUCAAUCGACAUCCUGUGAAAGAAGGAAGGGAGGCAGGGAGUGGCAGGAGCACAUGUGACCAAGGCUACAACUGUCUGUGUCCGUGCUGUCCCCUGCCUAGACUGGGCAGGGCACUGCUGAAGCCAG